rnacentral:rRNA from 1 species
UACGUAGGGGGCAAGCGUUGUCCGGAAUUAUUGGGCGUAAAGAGCGUGUAGGCGGUCCGGUAAGUCUGCUGUGAAAGUCCAGGGCUCAACCCUGGGAUGCCGGUGGAUACUGUCGAGCUCGAGUCCGGAAGAGGCGAGUGGAAUUCCUGGUGUAGCGGUGAAAUGCGCAGAUAUCAGGAGGAACACCAAUGGCGAAGGCAGCUCGCUGGGACGUGACUGACGCUGAGACGCGAAAGCGUGGGGAGCAAACAGG